AGCGAACAUAACUAUAAUUGGUACAAAAUGGGUGUUUAGAAACUAAUUAGAUGAACAUGGUACAAUAACAAGAAACAAAGCUAGGCU